AGAUGUGAGGGAGAUCUGGCUGUGACAUUUGUCACCCCAUUGAUUAGCAGGGUUGACUCAGCUGAUCUGGCUGGCUAGGUGGCUGGCCUUUCCUCCCUCAUCUCUCCAUGUGCAUCCCUCUCAAAGCUGCAACUCGGUCAGAGAGGAUGACCUUCUCUGAUAGAGCAGGACGUUGUUCUGUCAUGGGUAUGCAAGUAGCUGUGUUUCUCUGUCAGAACCUCAGACAAGCUUUCAAGGUCCAUUUGUAGGAGACCAUAGGGUAGUUAAGCUUCCAAGACUCCAGACACAUCUAAAUGAGGUGCUACAUGUGGCAGUCUGCCUUUCUUU
rfam:Equus caballus chromosome 1, whole genome shotgun sequence.